UUAUUUUAUCUCAAUAAUCUGUGGUUUAUUCAGUCAGCCAUGUUUAGUGUUUGAAAUGGUGGUAUUUCAAUUUAGUGAAUGUAAAAAAUAAGUUGUGAAAAUAAUUCAUUAUAUUAGACUUUCUAUAUUUGUGUUGUGAAUUUUCGAUGUUUUUAGUGAAACUCGUGUGAUAUUACCAUCGUGACAAUGAAUUGGGGUACAGAGCUUUGGGAUCAGUAUGAUAACUUAGCCGCCCACACGCACAAGGGAAUCGAGUUCCUAGACAAAUAUGGUAACUUUGUAAAGGACCGAUGCGCUAUAGAGCUCGAGUAUGCAGGAAAACUCAGGAGGCUCGUCAAAAGUUAUCAACCCAAAAGAAAAGAAGAAGAUGAAUACCAAUACUCAGCUUGCAAAGCAUUCAGACAGUUGCUGCAGGAGCUGGGCGACUUCGCGGGGCAGCGCGAGGUCGUAGCGGAGAACCUACAGUCCAACGUCGUGCGAGAGCUGCACCUGCUUGCCAAGGAGCUAAGGGAAGAGAGGAAGCAACAUUUAAACGAAGGCGCCAAACAAGUGGCCGUACUCAACUCUGCUAUAGGCGCACUGGAGAGGGCGCGGCGGGCCUACGAGCGCGCCGCCCGCGAGUCCGAGAGGGCUAUCGAAACAUUCGACAAGGCUGACGCUGAUCUCAGUCUAAGUCGAGCAGAGUUGGAGAAACAGAAAGCGAACGUGAAGGCGCGAGGUCAGGCGUGUGAGGAGGCUAAGCAGGAGUACACGGAACAGCUUCGUAAGACUAAUGAUGCACAGAGGCAACACUAUGAACAGAGGUUGCCACACGUAUUCAAACAGCUACAGGAUUUGGACGAAAAAAGAAUCAAAAAUAUAAAGAACUUCAUGUUAAGUUCUGUUGACGUCGAAAGGAAAGUCUUCCCCAUUAUAAUGCAGUGCCUUGACGGAAUGGAGACGGCCGCUAAUAGUAUUAAUGAAAAAGAGGACACCCAGCUGGUGAUAGAGAGGUACAAGUCAGGUUUCGUACCUCCCGAGGAGUUCAGGUUCGAGGCGGCGUCGGGGCGGGACUCGCAGGAGCACCACGCACCUCCGCAGCACCAUCUCACAGCCGCGCGCGGAACUGUCUCACAACGCGUCAAGAAGCGAGGAGGACUACUAUCUAUAUUCACCUCCAACAAGAACAACAUGUCGAUGGAUGGAAAGGAGGAUUAUUCAGAUUUGCCACCAAAUCAGAAGAAAAAGAAACUACAAGCCAAAGUUCUUGAGUUAAACAAACAGGUUGCACAAGAACAAGCCGCUAUGGAAGGUCUCAUGAAGAUGAAAGGAGUCUACGAAACAAAUCCUACCUUAGGGGAUCCCAUGACUGUAGAAGGACAAUUGAACGAGUGUUGCGACAAGCUGAAGAAGCUUCGCCAACAGCUGCGUAAGUACGAGGAGCUGCUGGCGGAGGCGCACAACCAAGUGUGCGCACCACCGCUGCAUCCUGCCGCGCGCACCAACGGCACCGCACCACCUGCACAGGCCAUCAGGUACACCGCAUCUACAUACAUACACAUACAUAGCCAAGUGUGCGCACCACCGCUGCAUCCUGCCGCGCGCACCAACGGCACCGCACCACCUGCACAGGCCAUCAGGUACACCGCAUCUACAUACAUACACAUACAUAGCCAAGUGUGCGCACCACCGCUGCAUCCUGCCGCGCGCACCAACGGCACCGCACCACCUGCACAGGCCAUCAGGUACACCGCAUCUACAUACAUACACAUACAUAGCCAAGUGUGCGCACCACCGCUGCAUCCUGCCGCGCGCACCAACGGCACCGCACCACCUGCACAGGCCAUCAGGUACGCCGCAUCUACGUACAUACACAUACAUAGCCAAGUGUGCGCACCACCGCUGCAUCCUGCCGCGCGCACCAACGGCACCGCACCACCUGCACAGGCCAUCAGGUACACCGCAUCUACAUACAUACACAUACAUAGCCAAGUGUGCGCACCACCGCUGCAUCCUGCCGCGCGCACCAACGGCACCGCACCACCUGCACAGGCCAUCAGGUACACCGCAUCUACAUACAUACACAUACAUAGCCAAGUGUGCGCACCACCGCUGCAUCCUGCCGCGCGCACCAACGGCACCGCACCACCUGCACAGGCCAUCAGGUACACCGCAUCUACAUACAUACACAUACAUAGCCAAGUGUGCGCACCACCGCUGCAUCCUGCCGCGCGCACCAACGGCACCGCACCACCUGCACAGGCCAUCAGGUACACCGCAUCUACAUACAUACACAUACAUAGCCAAGUGUGCGCACCACCGCUGCAUCCUGCCGCGCGCACCAACGGCACCGCACCACCUGCACAGGCCAUCAGUAUCGGGUCAAACAGCGAAUCUCUGUCGCGGUCCGCGUCAGAGUCGUCAGUGAGCACUGGCACAGGCACCGGCACCACUGCAUGCGCGUCUGCAGCACGAGUCGCCGGAGGCUCCCCAGAGUCCGGCCUCGGAGGAGAGCUGGCCGCCGCGCACGACCACGCCAACGGACACCACGACCAUCACGACCACCACGAUCACGACGACCAUCACGACCACGACGAACACGACGCGCACGACCACGAGUCCGAUAUUGAUUACUAUUACGAGCCCGACUUACAGCCGCUCGGAUAUUGCAAAGCGUUAUACGCAUUUGAAGCAAACGGCACAGGUUCAACGAUGCGUAUGGAGUGCGGUGAGCGGCUGCUGGUGCUGGAGACGGAUGCGGGAGAUGGAUGGACGCGGGUGAGGCGUCAGCACACGCGUGAGGAAGGCUUCGUACCCACCACCUACAUCGCCACAACGCUCUACGCCGACGCGCACGAACACUAGCCCCCCCACACCUACACCUACACACAUCGCCUUCUACCAACCCGACGACACAAUGUACUCACGUGAUCCAGCAAUACAUGGUCAACGUCGGUGUCAGCUCGUGUCCACUGAACUCGCCUGUGGCCUAACAAAGCAAGUAUUUUUGCUAUAAUUUGUCUUAAUAUGAAAGUUAGAUUUAUUUUUUUAUCUUUAUUUUUUUUUAUUAAUUCGUCUAAAGUCGUGUUCUAGGUCAUUUGGAGUACAAUAAUGGAAUUCUUUCUCCUAUUUUGUAUACAGAAUCUUGCGCACGACAAACGUAAUUUUAACAACAUUCCAUGUUUUUAUUUAUUGUGUAUAUUAUCAAUUGACUUACAUAUUUUUCAUGUAAGGAUGUCGAUUUAAAUGAUAGUUUGUAACAUUUAAUUAUAAAACAAUAUGUAACACAUUUAAAACUUCAUUGUGCCAGCAGUUUGUUUAGGGAAUUUUCGUACUUAUGA